UACGGGGGGGGCAAGCGUUGUUCGGAAUUACUGGGCGUAAAGGGCGUGUAGGCGGCCAACUAAGUCCGACGUGAAAUCCCCAGGCUUAACCUGGGAACUGCGUCGGAUACUGGAUGGCUUGAAUCCGGGAGAGGGAUGCGGAAUUCCAGGUGUAGCGGUGAAAUGCGUAGAUAUCUGGAGGAAUACCGGUGGCGAAGGCGGCAUCCUGGACCGGCAUUGACGCUGAAGCGCGAAAGCUAGGGGAGCAAACGGG
rnacentral:rRNA from 1 species